rnacentral:rRNA from 1 species
UACAGAGGCCUCGAGCGUUAGGCGGAAUCACUGGGCUUAAAGCGUGUGUAGGCGGACUUCUAAGUACCUUGUGAAAUCCCACGGCUUACCCGUGGAACGGCUGGGUAUACUGGUUGUCUUGAGCCACUUAGGGGCUACCGGAACAAAUGGUGGAGCGGUGAAAUGCGUAGAUAUCAUUUGGAACGCCAAUGGUGAAAACAGGUAGCUGGGAGUGUGCUGACGCUGAGACACGGAAAGCCAGGGGAGCGAACGGG